UGCCAAGCUAAUAAGAGCGUACGGUGGAUGCCUAGGCGCUAGGAGCCGACGAAGGACGUGGCAGGCUGCGAAAAGCCUCGGGGAGGCGCCAAACAACCCUUGAUCCGAGGAUGUCCGAAUGGGGAAACCCACCAGUGGUCAUGCGCUGGUACCCAGGUCUGAAUACAUAGGGCCUGUGGAGGGAACCGGGUGAACUGAAACAUCUAAGUAACCCGAGGAGAAGAAAACAAAUAGUGAGUCCCUGAGUAGCGGCGAGCGAAACGGGAUCAGCCCAAACUUCUGUGGUGUCAAAGCCUGACGGCGUUGCCACAGGGGGGUCGUGGGACCCAUCCGACUGAGCGUCAGAUCAGUCAGGGAGUUACAAAGUCAGCGGUUAGUCGAACCGUUUGGAAAAUCAGGCCAUAGAAGGUAAUAGCCCUGUAGACGAAAACCGACUGACCUCCCGAUGGUGUUCCCAAGUAGUACGGAGCCCGAGAAAUUCCGUACGAAUUUGCGAGGCCCACCUCGUAAGGCUAACUACUUCCUAGCGACCGAUAGUGAACCAGUACCGU
rnacentral:rRNA from 1 species